rnacentral:rRNA from 1 species
CGCCUGGGGAGUGCGGCCGCAAGGUUAAAACUCAAAUGAAUUGACGGGGGCCCGCACAAGCGGUGGAGCAUGUGGUUUAAUUCGACGCAACGCGAAGAACCUUACCUGGCCUUGACAUGCAGAGAACUUUCCAGAGAUGGAUUGGUGCCUUCGGGAACUCUGACACAGGUGCUGCAUGGCCGUCGUCAGCUCGUGUCGUGAGAUGUUGGGUUAAGUCCCGUAACGAGCGCAACCCCUAUCCCUAGUUGCUAGCAGUUCGGCUGAGAACUCUAGGGAGACUGCCGGUGACGAACCGGAGGUAGGUGGGGAUGACGUCAGGUCAUCAUGGCCCUUACGGCCAGGGCUACACACGUGCUACAAUGGUGCGCACAGAGGGCUGCAAACCCGCGAGGGGGAGCCAAUCUCACAAAACGCAUCGUAGUCCGGAUCGCAGUCUGCAACUCGACUGCGUGAAGUCGGAAUCGCUAGUAAUCGUGAAUCAGAAUGUCACGGUGAAUACGUUCCCGGGCCUUGUACACACCGCCCGUCACACCAUGGGAGUGGAUUGCACCAGAAGUGGUUAGUCUAACCUUCGGGAGGACGAUCACCACGGUGUGGUUCAUGACUGGGGUGAAGUCGUAACAAGGUAACCGUA